rnacentral:rRNA from 1 species
CCUACGGGUGGCAGCAGCGGGGAAUAUUGGACAAUGGGCGAAAGCCUGAUCCAGCCAUGCCGCGUGUGUGAAGAAGGCCUUCGGGUUGUAAAGCACUUUCAGUGGGGAAGAAAGCCUUGGGGCUAAUACCCUCGAGGAAGGACAUCACCCACAGAAGAAGCACCGGCUAACUCCGUGCCAGCAGCCGCGGUAAUACGGAGGGUGCGAGCGUUAAUCGGAAUUACUGGGCGUAAAGCGCGCGUAGGCGGUCUGAUAAGCCGGUUGUGAAAGCCCCGGGCUCAACCUGGGAACGGCAUCCGGAACUGUCAGGCUAGAGUGCAGGAGAGGAAGGUAGAAUUCCCGGUGUAGCGGUGAAAUGCGUAGAGAUCGGGAGGAAUACCAGUGGCGAAGGCGGCCUUCUGGACUGACACUGACGCUGAGGUGCGAAAGCGUGGGUAGCAAACAGGAUUAGAUACCCUAUAGUC